rnacentral:rRNA from 1 species
GACGUAGGGCGCGAGCGUUGUCCGGAUUUAUUGGGCGUAAAGAGCUCGUAGGCGGCUUGUCGCGUCGACUGUGAAAACCCGUGGCUCAACCAUGUGGUCUGCAGUCGAUACGGGCAGGCUAGAGUUCGGUAGGGGAGACUGGAAUUCCUGGUGUAGCGGUGAAAUGCGCAGAUAUCAGGAAGAACACCCGUGGCGAAGGCGGCUCUCUGGGACGGUACUGACGCUGAGACGCGAAAGCGUGGGGAGCGAACAGG